rnacentral:tRNA from 1 species
GGCCAGUUCGUCUAGGGGUUAGGACGCCGCUCUUUCACAGCGGUAACACGGGUUCGAUUCCCGUACUGGCUA